rnacentral:tRNA from 1 species
AUAGAGAAAAAGGAGUCGAACCUUUACCCAAAAAUCCAAAAUCUUUAGUACUUCCAACUAUACUACCCUCU